GAAGAUGGUGAACUAUGCCUGAAUAGGGCGAAGCCAGGGGAAACCCUGGUGGAAGCCCGCAGCGAUUCUGACGUGCAAAUCGAUCGUCAAAUUUGGGUAUAGGGGCGAAAGACUAAUCGAACCGUCUAGUAGCUGGUUCCCUCCGAAGUUUCCCUCAGGAUAGCUGGAGCCCGGUGCAGUUUUAUCAGGUAAAGCGAAUGAUUAGAGGUCUCGGGGUCGAAACGACCUCGACCUAUUCUCAAACUUUAAAUGGGUAAGAGGUCCGGCUUGCUCGAUUGAAGUCGGACGCGGAAUGCCGGGGCUCCUAGUGGGCCAUUUUUGGUAAGCAGAACUGGCGAUGUGGGAUGAACCGAAAGCCGGGUUAAGGUGCCCGAAUCGACGCUCAGCAGAUACAG
rnacentral:rRNA from 1 species